rnacentral:rRNA from 1 species
CCUACGGGAGGCAGCAGUGGGGAAUAUUGGGCAAUGGGCGCAAGCCUGACCCAGCAACGCCGCGUGAAGGAAGAAGGCUUUCGGGUUGUAAACCUCUUUCGUCAGGGAAGAGUAGAAGACGGUACCUGACGAAUAAGCCACGCCUAACGACGUGCCAGCAGCCGCGGGAAUACGUAGGUGGCAAGCGUUGUCCGGAUUUACUGGGUGUAAAGGGCGUGUAGCCGGGUUGACAAGUCAGAUGUGAAAUCCUGCGGCUUAACCGCAGAACUGCAUUGGAAACUGUUGAUCUUGAGUGGUGGAGAGGCAGACGGAAUUCCUAGUGUAGCGGUGAAAUGCGUAGAUAUUAGGAGGAACACCAGUGGCGAAGGCGGUCUGCUGGACAGCAACUGACGGUGAGGCGCGAAAGCGUGGGGAGCAAACAGGAUUAGAUACCCCUGUAGUC